ACUGAUUUGAAGCGCGCUUUCACUGCCUUUCGCUUCUUCAAUUUUUUUUUUUAUAUAAAUUUCCUUAAUUAAUAGAUAAUAAUAAUAAAGCCGCGCAAAUAAUAGUGAGAGAGAGCAGCAGCAGCAACAAUGGGCUCCUCUUCUCCUUCUCUUACCCUUCUUUACUCUUUAAUAUUUGCCUCCUCUGUGUUCCUCUCACGUGCCACUCUCAAAGCUUUUGGAGAUGAGGCUGCUGGCAUUUCAAAUCCAUACAUUCUUGACCCUGAGAAUCCAGCUCUGGAUGUCACCCCGUCUCGCUUGCAUGGGCAUGUGUUUAGCCGUGAUGUUUUCUUUUGUGAACGAGUUAAAGUUUCUGGUCACUCGAGAUGGAAACUCAGUAGUUAUGCUAGUUCAUUUCGAGUUACUUUGGCUCCAUCUGCAGUAAUACCGGAGAGAAUGCAUAGCAAAAUUCAGGUUUGCUUUCACCGGAAUGCUUCCCUUGGAUUAUGCCAGUGUGAAAAGGAUGAUUGGAGGGCUGUUCAGAACGGGCUGUGGAGAACUGCCAUGUCUCCUUAUGUGGAGAGAUAUGUUGAUGUAAAGUUCGCUGGUGAUACUUCUGGAUCUGUUUCAAUCGCUGUUGAUGAAGAUUUACAGCAAUGGCGCCUCAUGUGUCUAGCAGCUGGAUUUGUUUUACUAUUGCUGGCAUCAAUUGUCAGCAGUUGGGUUCCCUUUUAUUAUUGCACUUCAAUGGCUAUUGGGUUUUUUCUGGUCAUUAUAUUCCUUCUUUUUCAGGGAAUGAAAUUGUUGUCAACUGGAAGGAAAAACUUUUUCUAUCUUUCCAUGUAUGGAUCAGUGCUUGGAGCUGGCACUUUUGUUUUACAUCAAACUUCAAUUCUGGUAAAUUCGAUUCUUGUCAAUUUUGGGCUGAGUGAAGAGAUGCACUAUCCAGUCUACAUAUUUGUAUUAGUAGGGAUUGUUCUUGCAGGAGCUGGUUUAGGGUACUGGAUGGUGAGGAAAUUUAUAAUCUCAAAGGAUGGGAGCGUGGAUGAUGAAGUAGCUCAGUUUGUUAAAUGGGCAACACGCAUUAUUGCAUCCACCUUUAUUUUCCAGGAGGGACCACAUGCAUGGUGCAGCAAUAGCAGUAGCAACGGAGCACGAGUCAGCAACAACGGAGCACGAGUAGAGCUUCUACUGCAGGGAUCAAUCAGAUUCUGGGGGUGCGCGUGCUUGGGUCCAGCCCACAGGACAGGUGGCAAGAUAUAGACUGCUGAAUUCCUUAGCAGGUCAGGAGCAAUGAGCCCCCAGAGGAAGAUGCGCAACAGUCCAAAAAGCUCUUCUGCUAGGACCAACUCCCCUGUUAAAGGUGAGUAGCUAGAACCACAAUACAGGUUUGGUAUCACCAUCUUCUCAUUCGGCAACAGUAGAUAAACAGGAUUACUACUCAACCUUCCACAAGACACCAAAGCAAAAGAAGUUCACAACAGCGGGAGGAUUUCACCAGGGAAUCAACACACCAAGCUGUGGCCGAAGGGGCAGCGUCACCGGAAGUCACCAAUUGGAUCAUCGAGAAUGCUGAUCGGAUUCAACUCCUUCCAAGUGAUUAUAGCUCGGAAGAAAUGGUGGGAAGUGAAUCAGACUUGACAGGCGAGACUGUUGCUGGGAGUGGCAUACCAUGCGGCCUUUAUCGGCGCUGAAUGGACCAGAGAAAUCACGGUAGCAAUCAGGGAUCAGGUAUUUAGAUUGUGUUGGAGGUGACACUAGUUUAGGAAAUGUAGUUUGCUGCACCAACAAGCCGAAUGGAUUUUUUUCUAGGAUUAGCCAACCAUUUGGCUAACAGUUUGUUUCCAGAAUUAAUCUCCUAAGGACAUGCAAGGUUACCUUGUAUAAGUAAAAAAUCACAGUUGUGCACAGAAGGGAAAGCCAUUGUUAGUUCUUGAUUA